AUGACUAUGACAGGCACAUGCUCUUUCAGUCUAGGUCCAUAUCCGCAUGUAGCUGUUGGAGCAUCUGGAGUUGACUAUGACAUAUUAGCCGAAAGUGUUGGAGAUGGGUGGUUGUUUUUUGCUGGAGAAGCCACCACAAGGCGUUACCCUGCAACAAUGCACGGACCUUUUAUUACGGGCGUACAAGAGGCUGCUAACAUCAGUAUCCAUGCCACCGCCCGAGUAACAAAGACCAAAGUGGAAAAAAGCCCAUCUACGGACGCUCAAGCUUGUGCUAGCUUACUAGUAGACUUGUUUAGGUUACCAGACCUGGAAUUUGGGAGCUUCUCUGUCAUUUUUGGGGGAAAAAGGCUUGGAUCCGAAAUCUCCAGCUAUUCUAAAUGUGGAAGUGUGGAACUAGGUGGCCCUUAG
rnacentral:rRNA from 1 species